UUGGUAAUUUUGGACACAUUCAGACUCAUUUUGGCUCCACUUGGAGUCAUAUAGACUUUAAUUGGAGUCAUUUUGGUCCAACUUGGCGUCAUUGGAGUCCCUUUGGACAGGUUCGGAGUCCCUUUGGACAGGUUUGGAGUCCCUAGGACAGGUUUGGAGUCCUUUUGGACAGGUUUGGAGUCCUUUUGGACAGGUUUGGAGUCCUUUUGGACAGGUUUGGAGUCCCUUUGGACAGGUUCGGAGUCCUUUUGGACAGGUUUGGAGUCCCUAGGACAGGUUUGGAGUCCUUUUGGACAGGUUUGGAGUCCUUUUGGACAGGUUUGGAGUCCUUUUGGACAGGAUUGGAGUCCCUUUGGACAGGUUUGGAGUCCCUUUGGACAGGUUUGGAGUCCUUUUGGACAGGUUUGGAGUCCCUUUGGACAGGUUUGGAGUCCUUUUGGACAGGUUUGGAGUCCUUUUGGACAGGUUUGGAGUCCUUUUGGACAGGUUUGGAGUCCCUUUGGACAGGAUUGGAGUCCUUUUGGACAGGUUUGGAGUCCUUUUGGACAGGUUUGGAGUCCCUUUGGACAGGUUUGGAGUCCUUUUGGACAGGUUUGGAGUCCUUUUGGACAGGUUUGGAGUCCUUUUGGACAGGUUUGGAGUCCCUUUGGACAGGAUUGGAGUCCCUUUGGACAGGUUUGGAGUCCUUUUGGACAGGUUUGGAGUCCUUUUGGACAGGUUUGGAGUCCCUUUGGACAGGUUUGGAGUCCUUUUGGACAGGUUUGGAGUCCUUUUGGACAGGUUUGGAGUCCCUUUGGACAGGUUUGGAGUCCUUUUGGACAGGUUUGGAGUCCUUUUGGACAGGUUUGGAGUCCCUUUGGACAGGUUUGGAGUCCUUUUGGACAGGUUUGGAGUCCUUUUGGACAGGUUUGGAGUCCUUUUGGACAGGUUUGGAGUCCCUUUGGACAGGAUUGGAGUCCCUUUGGACAGGUUCGGAGUCCUUUUGGACAGGUUCGGAGUCCCUUUGGACAGGUUCGGAGUCCCUUUGGACAGGUUCGGAGUCCUUUUGGACAGGUUCGGAGUCCUUUUGGACAGGUUCGGAGUCCUUUUGGACAGGUUUGGAGUCCCUUUGGACAGGUUCGGAGUCCCUUUGGACAGGUUUGGAGUCCUUUUGGACAGGUUCGGAGUCCUUUUGGACAGGUUUGGAGUCCCUUUGGACAGGUUUGGAGUCCUUUUGGACAGGUUUGGAGUCCUUUUGGACAGGUUUGGAGUCCCUUUGGACAGGUUUGUGGUGACCAAGGUCUUGAUUUGUGGUGAGAUGAGGCCUCCAGGCUGCCUGGUCUGACGUGGACAACCACACACGAUGGGUGAAUUUACAGUCAGACACACAGUAGAGAGGAUGUCGGGGCGGGGCGAGGGGCACAGGAAACAUGAAUGAGCGGGUGACGUCACCAUGGCAACUAGUAGCAGUGACUGUUGAA